rnacentral:lncRNA from 1 species
GUCUUAAUUUCUCCUCUUUUUUUGGUGUGGUAAAAUAAACAUAACAUAAAUUUACCACUUUAGCUAUUUAUACAAUUCAGGACCCAGCGCGGUUGCCUAGUGGUUGACUUCACGCAUUCCACUUUGGCAGCCCGAGGUUCACAGGUUCGGAUCCUGGGUGUGGACCUAGCACUGCUCAUCAAGCCAUGCUGUGGUGGCAUCCCACAUAAAAUAGGGGAAGAUUGGCACAGAUGUUGGGUCAGGGCCAAUCUUCCUCACAAAAAAACUAUACAAUUCAGUGGCAUUAAGUACAUUCAUAAUAUUGUGUAAUCAUCACCACUAACAAGUUCCAAAUUUUUUUAUCAUUCCAAACCGAAAUCCCAUACCUAUUAAGAAGUCACUCCCCAUUAUAUAUUAUUGAAAUUUAGUUGGUAUUAAUCAGAACUAUAUUGUUAUAAGUUAAGUGGUUAAUUAUAAUAUCCAGGGCAACUAUCAAAAUAUAACUAAAAAAUAUGUACUAAAAGAAAUGCAAAUGACUUAAAUCACACACUAGAAAAUAUCUAUUUGAUACAAAAGAAGACAGUAAUGUAGAAAUAGAAGAACAAAAAGGCAGCAAGACGUGUAGAAAGUAAAUAUAAAAAUGACAAACAUAUCCUAACUUAUGAAUAAACUGACUGUAAAUGGGUUAAACACUGCAAUGAAAAGGCAAAGAUCAAUAGAAUGAAUUUAAAAAAUUAUCUGACCAUAUAUUAUCUGUAACAGACACACUUUAGAUUCAGACAGAAAUAAAUUGAAAGUAAAACAAAUGAAAAAGAUAAGCCAUUGCCAACAGUAACCAAGGAGCACUGGAGUGACUAUAUUAAUAUAAAAGAAAACAGACUUUAAGACAAACAUUGUUACUAGAGACAAAGAACAUUUUAUAAUGAGAAAAGGUGAAAUCACUCCAGAAAUUAUAACAUUUAUAAACAUAUAUAUAUAUAUAUAUAUGAAGCGAUGCUCAACACUAUUGGUUAUUAGGGAAAUGUAAAACAAAACCA